GUUCACUUGUUGAUUAUUUACUCAAAAUAAUCAACAUUUAAAGAUGAAUGGUAAUGGUGAUGAUUGUUUAAUUGUUUCUCCUUAUAUUGUUAUAAGAUGUAGAAUAGAAUAAUUUGAAUAAUAUUCUUAUUCUUGUGAUCAGAUACUUGAUAUAUUAAUUGUUACUAUUGUUGGAUAUUACAAAUCACUACUGGUGAUGGAGACUGAAUCGAAUCCGAUGAAAUUUUCUUAGUUGAGUAAAUUGUCACGCGAUUUUUUUCUGGCCUAAUCAGCGAGAUAAACGUUUAACUUACACCGAAAAGUAACCAAGAAGCGAAACGAUGUAAAGAUUAGAAAAGAGGAAAGAGCAACAAUCAAUUCUUUGGUUAAACCUUGAUCUUGAAUCUAACAGGAUUUCCUGACCCAUGGAAACAGAGGAAAUUGAAUUUUACAUAUUAAUUAAUUCCCUGGAACCCUUUCACUGAUGAUUAAGUUUUUGCUGAUCCUGAAGAUAAUUUAUCUGCAAUUAACUUACUGGGAUAAUUUUUUCCAUAAUUCCAACAAUGUAUUCCAAUAAUUAGUUGGAAAUUAAUUAUAAUUAAUGGUUGUGAAAUUUUAAUUCGUUGAUUGUUAUCUUUAGAUUUCAUUUGAUCAUUAGUUGAAUUUUAAAUGGAAUCGAACAAAUUUCUCCUUGGAAACUUCAUCAUUUUUUAGGUUAAUUAGGCCUAACACUCGGAUAUCAAAAUUUAAAUAACUAAUUGUCCAUCUUGAUAAUAAGUUAAACGGAUUUCUUACAAUUAAGUGAUUAUCAGAAAAAAAGUGAUUAUUGAUGCAUUGAAAUUUGAAUAAUUUAAUUAUUAUCAUAUUCCUAUUGUAAGUUAUUAUUAUUAAUCCAUUCUUGUAGUGGUAAUAACAAUUAAGAGUAUUAAUUGUUAAUCGUUUACAUUUAACCAACUGUAGUUUUUGUCCCUGACCUCAUACAAUCUCAAUAAAUUAGGCGAUAAUCUUUUGAUAAUGUUAAUCAUUUUGGAUCAUGAUGAACCAGAUAAACGUGACAAUCCAGUAAACCUUUUCAAUCGGAUUUAAUUGCAGCACUUUCCAUCAACCUCAGGUCAUAAAGUAAACCCGUUGAGGUGAUAACCUGUCACUUGAUAACUAAUACAUAUCUCUUGAAUUGCUAUUCAACUUUAAUUCAUAUUUAGUGAAAAACAAUUAAAACCAUUUUUGUUGAAAACAAAAGUAAUUGCAAUUACUUUUAUUCCUGUUAAUUGUACUUUGGCAAUGACAUUGAAACGAGUGGAUUGAACAUAUCAUCAUGAAAAAAAAAAUCAACAAAGAUUUAGAUCAUGUGCCACCAGAUCGAUCAAAACUAAUUCACAAUCAAAUUGGAAAGAAAAGUUUAUUUGAUAUUGACAACACUUAAUUGUCUUUAAUUAUCUUCACUUAUUAGAAGAUAAAAAGUUGUUUCAUGAUUAAAAGUGAUCGGCCAAGAAA